ACGACAAGAGAAGGUGGUGGACGGGAGGAGGCUGUUUGGAGAGGCUAGCAAGUGAAUAGUUAAUUCGAUUUUCAAAGAGUCCAAUUUGAAAUACUUAUAAGAUAUCCAGAGGGAAAAGCCAAGGAAAUAGUUGGAGAUACAACGUUUUAAGGAGCUAGUUAUCCUGAACCGGUAUCUCAGCAAAACGGAAGAAGCACCAGACAUGAAGGCUGCGUGAGGACGAGACUCAGGAGGGAAGGAAUGAAAAUACACAACCCCAAAUGUGGGCUGAGAGAGACAGAUAAGUGGAAUAACAGGAACCCAAAGAGGAUUCAAGGAAGGAGCCUGCCUUUAUCUGCAAGCCCAGAGGAAAAGGACUCGGUCAGGGGCCACAGGGAAGCCUUUGCAGGACGCCAUCCUUGGCCAUGUAACCAAAGAGAAACUUGGUCAAAGAAGUACCAGGAAACAGAAGGUUUCAAAACAAAGCUCAGCAGCCAUGGGCUUCCUUCUCCUAGUGGGAAAUCUCCUGGCUGCUGUUCAUAACUGAUCCUGACAGUUAAUGGGUUUGUGAAUGUGGCGUGACUUCCCUGAGCCUUGCGUCCCGUAUGUAGGUAAAGGAUAAGGCUAUCUCCCAUAGAGGACUGUGGGGAGGCUUCAACGGCACCGCAGAUGUGACGGACUUAACACAGGCUGCUUCUGAUAUGAG